AAUCCUCUCACUAUCUCCGGAUCGUUUUAGAAACAUCAGUGGCCAACAGAUCGCCAGAUCGUUGAGCUGCAUUGGCGGGAUUUCGCCGUCUUCGUUUCUCUUUCUUCGCGGACGAACACGCGCUGGGCCUGCAUCAUGCAGGAUCCCACUGGUCCCUGACGGGAUAUGCGUUAGGGUGCUUGUAGCUCAGUUGGUUAGAGCGCGCGCUUGAUGCAAGCGUGAGGUCGGAAGUUCAAGUCUUCCCAGGCCCACCACUUUCAUCGAGUGAGCAUUCAAGUGCCUUCUGGUUAUUCGGGGCCAUAGCUCAGCUGGGAGAGCGCGUGCUUUGCAAGCAUGAGGUCGUCGGUUCGAUCAGCCGUCUGAGCUCCACCAGAUGGUUUGAUCACCGAGAUCUUGCACCGUCGUCCGCGAAGCAUCACUUCGCAUCCUGCUAGUCUGGAUAGACAGCAAGAUGAGUGUUUUCUGACAUAGUAAAAAGGAAAU
rnacentral:tRNA from 1 species